CCUACGGGCGGCAGCAGUGGGGAAUAUUGGACAAUGGGCGAAAGCCUGAUCCAGCCAUGCCGCGUGUGUGAAGAAGGCCUUCGGGUUGUAAAGCACUUUCAGUGGGGAAGAAAGCCUUGGGGCUAAUACCCUCGAGGAAGGACAUCACCCACAGAAGAAGCACCGGCUAACUCCGUGCCAGCAGCCGCGGUAAUACGGAGGGUGCGAGCGUUAAUCGGAAUUACUGGGCGUAAAGCGCGCGUAGGCGGUCUGAUAAGCCGGUUGUGAAAGCCCCGGGCUCAACCUGGGAACGGCAUCCGGAACUGUCAGGCUAGAGUGCAGGAGAGGAAGGUAGAAUUCCCGGUGUAGCGGUGAAAUGCGUAGAGAUCGGGAAGAAUACCAGUGGCGAAGGCGGCCUUCUGGACUGACACUGACGCUGAGGUGCGAAAGCGUGGGUAGCAAACAGGAUUAGAUACCCUAGUAGUC
rnacentral:rRNA from 1 species